rnacentral:antisense_RNA from 1 species
CUUGAGCGAGCCCAGCCACAGCGGCCGGUCCUCCGGCCGCUCCCGGCCGUACGUGCCGAGCAGUGCCUGUGCCUC